UUACCAUUGAAGGGAAUUUUCAGUUUGAGAAGUCAAAUUAUAUUAAUGAUGUAAACAUUGCUUAUAAUUCUAGACAAGGGUAACAAUGACUAGAAAUUUAGGGCAGUAACCUGAAUUGAAACAUGACGGAGAACAUGCAAAACCUUGAAACUGCCCCUAUAAAUCAGAUAUUGGCCGGGUGAAAUUGAGCCCUCACAUUAAAACGCAAAAGCACAUUUGAAACGGCCGAAAAUUCACUUGCAAAAACCAGAAACUUUAAAUUGACAAUCUGUGCAACACCCUUUCUUCAACGUAAGAAGAGAAAACAAAACAUCUUCUAACAAAAAGAAUGGAAUUACUUUUGAGUUUUCUGUAUGCCCGCAACGGAACUCAAGCGCCAUCAAACAAGGUUCGCUCGGAUCUCUCAUAGGCAAUGUCUCAAGGAUCAAUCAAACACAAUCUGCAGAACCAAUCUAAUCCUUAAGAAAAAAGGAACUGUAAAAUCUCCAUUUAAUAAUUGAGAGGGAGAGAGAGAGAGAGAGAGAGAGAGAGAGGGAGAGGGGGGAAGAGGAGAUUAUGAGCAUCAGUUUUAAAAAGCUCGAAUUUUGGAAGCUUCAUGGCUUUCGCCAAUCAGUCGUCAAUUCCAAAUUUUUUCUCAUCAUAUGCUCUCAUCCUCUGUUAACUUUGCCUUCAGAUAACACAAGCAUAGAAUAACAAAAUAAGUUGCAGAGAAGAAAGAAAAAGUAGAAAGAAGAAACGCAGAGCAAGUAGCAUCAACGAAACAAUAACGAAGAAUUGUGGAACAGCCGCUGGAAG
rnacentral:lncRNA from 1 species